GUGCUCGCUUCGGCAGCACAUAUACUAAAAUUGGAAUGAUACAGAGAAGAUUAGCAUGGCCCCUGCACAAGGAUGACACGUAAAAUUGUUAGAUCUUCUUGUU